CUCGAUUGGUUUAGGAUAAGCAUACAAUAAUUAAACCAUUAGAUCAAACGGUUAGUUUGCAACAAUUAGAAGAAAAAAAAGCGACUAAUUUUAUAAAUGCUUGAUCAAUUGUCAGUUCUUGAGUAUCCAAAGAUUUGUUAACUCUGUUAUUGAUCUCUGUUUCUUCUUACUGUUGUGAACAGGCAGAAGCUACAUGAUUCUUACUGUGUGGAAAAGGUGGAGAAGAAUAGCACAAACAGGUUCUUUUUUUGGAUCUUCACUAACUCUUUUCCUGAUGUGUAUAUUAUGAAUUUUGAUUAUAGAAUUUUGUGUGAAAGUUGAUAAUGACAUAUCUUGAAUGAUUGAAAUUUGUUCUUUGAGAAAAAAUAAAAUAAAAGAAUCAUGUGAAAGCAUUGAAAGCAGCAGGACUCUCUGUUAAACAGGCAAAGCUAUGGUGUGUUAGCUACUUUGGGGCCACACCUAUAGAACAAUUUGGUAAACGUUAGAAACUCUUGUUUUGUCAUCAACCUCUUUGUUUUAUCCAAAACUCAAUCGUUUGGAUCGAAAUUCGUUUGAAUGAGUAAAAUUCGUAAACAUUGUUGCUAGUCAAUGACUACGGAUUACUGAAUUGUUUACCUUCUUGAUUGCUCCUUUGUUGAAGAUGCAAAUCAGAACAUAUGUUCCCUUUUGUGUUAGAACAGAGUAUAUGUGGAAAAGGUAGAUAUUAUUAGCAUAGCUACAAUGAUUAACCACACGGAUAAGUUACAUGAACGGAGUUUGCUUUAAGCAAAAACAUAAUCCCGUUAAAGAAAGCAAAGCAUCCUCAAAUGAUGGUAAAUACACUACUUGUUCUUUUCUUUUUCAUUGAGACAAAAGAGAAACAUUGGGAUUGCAAUAGAAAUUAUUAAAAGAAGUAUGAGUCUUAUUUGGUUUUGCUCACCUUGCCUCUACUUUGAACACGACUAUUUGCAGUGGUUCUUGUUCUAGCCUUGAGCUCAGAUUCCUCUUCUUGGUCGCUGAAUUUCUCACAAGCUCUAUUCUUUGUCUGGUGAUUGACUUGUUUGGCAUUACUAUUCUUUGCAGCUGCUGCAUGAUUCUUGGUGUUUCUUGGAAGCUGAGUGCUAGGCCAUGAGGAUGCAUCAGAGGUCAUCGAGUCAUCGCUCCUAUUGUCACUACUAUCAUCAUCAUCGUCAUCAUCAUCACCACCAUCUUCACCAUCAUCUUUUACUCGGAAAUCCCCAUCGUCACCAUCUUCAUCAUAGUCUUGGUAGACAACAUCAGAGCGAUGAUGGUUACCAUGGAAAGUGUCUUCUAUGUACAUAGUCCAUCCUGAUUCACAACUAGUCUUCUCCUCAGUACCUCCAUGGAUUCUUGGAGACUCCAUUGCUAACACAAAAAGUUAACUUAGCCUUUUUUUCUUUUGUUUAACGUUACGUACCUCAAGCUUGUUCCAAUAUCCCUUUAGCCUCUGAUAUAGCCUCUGUGUCUCUCGCUGUCUUUGGCUUUGCUCUUCAUCAUCAAUAAAUACUGUCUGAUUUUUCUUUUCUUUUUUUUUUGCCUUUCUUGUGUUUCAGAAUCAGGAAAAGCCGGAGCCUAUUGAAUCACACUUAUAUAAUUGAAUACCAGGAGUGAGUAUCACCACAUGGCAAUUCUUGCACCAUUGUUUUCGCC
rnacentral:lncRNA from 1 species